UACGUAGGUGACCAGCGUUGUCCGGAAUUACUGGGCGUAAAGCGCCUGUAGGCGGGAACGUGCGUCGGGCGUGAAAGGCGGGGGCUUGAACCCCCGAGCGGCGUUCGAAACGGCGUUUCUUGAGGGUCGAAGAGGAGCGUGGAAGUUCCUGGUGUAGCGGUGAAAUGACGUAGAGAGUCAGGAGGAACACCCAUGGCGAAGGCAGCGCUCUGGUCGGCAUCUGACGCUGAGAGGCGAAAGCGUGGGGAGCGAACGGG
rnacentral:rRNA from 1 species